UUUAAUUUCUCCAGCAUCAGAGUCGCAAUGAAAGCAAUUGAGGAAGAUGAGCCAUAUGGUACUUCUAUCAGCAAACACAUAUUGCUCAUUCCCCCAAAGUUUUCUAAUUCUGCUCCCCAGACCUGUGUAAUAUAGAUAAUGUGCUCUGAGCGCAGCAACCAUGAGCUAUCUGGUGUACACUUCUAAUACUGUAUUUAAUGGGAAAUAAUGAAUCAUAAAAGCCUGCAGAAGACGGCUUUUGCUAACCUAAAUCUCAGCUGUAAUUUCAUUGUUCUGUGCCUAAGAUGCUGUUUGCCCUUUUCAAACAGCAGCAGUUGAACAUAAUUAUGCUGCUACAAACCCGGGCUGCAAAAAGAAAGCCUUCCUAAUAGAACCAAGUUUUUAUUAACUCUUGAAAUCCGGAGCUUGGGGCGACUGCAAGCAGACAGCUGCCUGUCAGGUUUUAGGGUUCAUUAAAGCACACGUACACGUAUAUCUUGAUUUCCAGUGUGCAGCCCCACAAAUUAAAUUGAUGAUUCCCACAUUGGGCCAAAAAUACAACAGGAGAAGGCUAUGAAAAACUAGGAAAUCUUCUUGACAUCGGGAAAUCCGACAGUUGUCUGCUCUAACAUCUGUAAGUGCCAAAGAAAGAGGGGGAUUUUUUUCCUUAAAGAAAGGCAGGUUUGCCUAUCUCCAAGGGACGGUCCGUCAGGGUUGCUUUCUGAAGAAGCCUAUAGGUAAAGAGGCAUCCAUAUGUUCACAGAGGAGGAUUCAUAAAGGCGAAGACGAGAACAUAAAGGUAUUAUUUUGACAUGAUGACCCCUGGAAAAUGUCUAUGACUCAUCCCAACAACAGCCACCCCCACCCUGCCUUCCCCCUUGCAAAAUACCACAACCAAAUCACCAGCAACCCAAGUCAGAGACAGACCAACAGCCUAAAACCUACAAUGAAUUUACAUCAUCUAUAUGGAGCUUUGGACCAACAGGUUGUUGCCACUUUUGCUGCCUUUAGCUCUGAGAAGUUGAGUAAAUCCUCUGGCCCCUUUCAAAUAUUUUCUCAUCUGCACUGAAUUUCUACCAACACAGCAACUGAUAGAUACGGACCUAAGAAAUAUAUAUUAUCAUUGAGUAAGGUUUUCUUUUUUUUUUUUUCUUACUUAAUCUGAGGCAAUUAGUUCCUGAAUAAACACAGACUAAGCAAUCUACCUCCUCAAAAGAUAAUCAGACUUGAAAACCGCUGUUUGUUCCUACCCAAGAAAAGCACAACUUGAUUAAAAUGCUUUGGAGAUUUGCUUUCAUUUCUUCCUUUUUGCCCUGGAAAACAUUUUAUAACAUCCCAAUAACUUUUAUUUUCUUUCCAUGCCAAACCUGGGGCCUCUGUUGGUUGUUGCUGUCCUUUCCCCCCACCUUUCCUAAAUCUGUAACCCUGCUUCUCAUUAUUCUUUGCUCCUAAUCUAAUCACUAAUUCCUUGUCUUGGCCAAAUAGUUAAAAAUGUUAAGUGCUGCUCACAAUUCCUGCUGCCUCCCCCAUGUAUCUGUCUCUGUUUAUGGAACAGGCCCUGGUUUCCUCCUGCUCUUG